rnacentral:lncRNA from 10 species
UGGAAUCUCUUCAAAUACAAGGUAUGUCUACCUCUCAACCUGCAGAGCCUAUGAAUAUUGCCUUAUCCAGAAAAAGGGUCUUUGGAGAUAUAAUUAUGUUUCUUCAGAAGAGGAGCUUAUCUUGGAUUAUUCAAGUAGCUUCCAAAUGCAAUGACAGAUCUUUGUAAGAGAUGCAUAGAGGAGACAGAUGUACAGGAGGAAGCCAAGUGAAGACAGAGGCAAAGAUGAGUGAUCCAGUCACAAGCUUCUGACUGCCAUCAGAAGCUGGA